GCAGACAGCGUGCUGUCUGCUCCCACGGUCAUGCCCUUUCCAGGCAGAUAUGUUGCCUUCAAGAAUUGUUUAAUGGGGAGUUUUUAAAAAUAGCCCACGCAGUCCAAAAUCAAAGUGCUCUUAUGGUCUUUGGAAAGCAGCAUUAGAAAGUGACCACUUUUGUCACCUGCUGUGGUUCCUCCCAGUGCAGCCUGUGUCCACCUGCCGACCUGCAGGGGGCCCACGAGCACAGGCACUUGUUUGAAAGUUAUGGCUGACUGAGCUGUGGUUGUCUGGUUCUUAUUUCUUUCCAUUGUAGACAUUGCUGACGUCUUGGGAAUGGCAUUAUUUAGGGUCUUUUUGUCAGCCACGACUUUAGCCACACUAAACUCUUUAGUGGAGGGUUUGCACAUCAGAGAUAGAAUUCUGUGCCCAGUGAAGUUAAAAUCAGCAGGAGACACAAUACGUGCAACCCUUCAAUAUAAUACUGGGCAAAGGGAAAGGGCUGAUACCAGCCUGGGAUCAUCAAAGACAUCCUGGAAAAGGCAUCCCUUAAGCCUGAUCUCAGCUAGAGGUGAAUGAUUAUUUUCUCAGCUGAGAAGGGCAGAAAAACUUAUAGCUACAGUGGUCGGAUAAUGUCAUUCCUUUUCUCAUCCCUCAUAAGGGCCAUGGCCAGUGCUCCUUUAACAAAAGACAAAUUAGGAGGAGAAAACCAUAACAAAUUUUAUUUAAUCAAAGUCUUACUUAACACAGCAGGCUUCAGAAAUGAAAACCAAAGAACCGGGGAAAACUGUCCAUUGUUAUGCUUUGGUUUGAUCAAGAAUGGGCAGCCAUGUAGAAAUAGGUGCGUUAGUCUGUUUUGCAUUGCUAUCAAGGAGUACCUUAGGUGGGGUAAUUUGUAAAGAAAAGAGGUUUCACUGGCUCACGGUUCUGCAGGCUGUGCAAGCAUGGCACCCGUGUCUGCUCAACUUCCGAUGAGGUCUCAGGAAGCUUUUACUAAAGGUUGAAGGCAAAGGGAGAGUAAGUGACAGGGUGCAAGAGGCGGUGUGGGAAGCUCCCAGACUCCUAAACAAUCAGAUCUCCUGAUAUCCCAUUAUCUCAGGGAGGGCAACAAGUCAUUGAUGAGGGAUCCACCCCAUGACCCAAACACCUCCCACCAGACCCCACCUCCAACACCGGGGAUCACAUGUCAAUGUGAGAUUUAGAGGGGACACGCACCCAAAAUCUAUCAGUGUGACUAGACACAAGGGUGCCAUCUGACAGUGGGAAUCCAGUAAGACCCGUCUGUUGAGAUUCCUCUUGCCCUCUCUGGGCAGCGUUCUUUCCUCCCAGGUGUAGGGCAGAACUUAACUAUCAGCAAGGUAGAUCAGAGAACUUCUUAAUGUCCAGAUCCUACACAAAAUGGCAGGGGAAGGAUGGAUUAAUGUCUCCAGGUUUUAAGACUGGCUUUGGGGGAGAGAGGCUCAGGCUUUCUCUCACCCGCCUCAGGGAAGAGGAAUUCUGAUUCCAGAACUCACUUUGGUGGAGAAAGUGGGGUAGGAGAAGGUCAGAGAGAGCUUGCUUCUGUGCAGGAUGCUCAAAGAGAGCCAAGCAACCUGCUUUCCAUGUUGGCCAUGUGGUGUCCCCCCCGCCCUCCACAGAUGUGCGUGCUCCUGCACCAUUCCCUUUACCCUUGGUAUUUGAGUGGCUGUUUCCCAAGAACAGAAAGCUCCCUGUCAGAUGAGGGCAUUCACCUGAUUUCUGCUUUCAUUUCGUUUCUACUGGCUCUCUCAAAUAUGUCUUUUGCAGCAUUUUUUUCUGGUACCCCGUUGAGCCCAGGACCCAGGCGGUCUUUGGUGCCCCCUUGCGGGUAGCAGGUUCAGGUUGUGCAGGUCCAGCCAGAUGCCCCGUGUCCCCAUCAGGAUCCUGACAGAAGGCGUGUGCUACCAUGUGUUCCAGUAUCCUGAUGAAGUGCAAUAGAACCCUUCUGUUAAGGUGCUAGCUGCCUUCUCCACUGUAUUAUUAGUGUUUUUCCUCUUGUAAUUACUAAGUAAUCUGUGAGGAGACGUUUCAGGACUACGUAAACAUCUUAAUCCUCAUCCAGCUGUCACCUGUGUGGCAAUUCCUGCCUGAAUUGAUGUUUACCUUCGUGAAUGGGGAUUUUUUUCCAGUUCUGUUGUUUCUUUGUAUUUAGAAGUUGACUUUCUAAGAAAGAGCCCUCCUUUCCACCCACUUUAUUUGCUUAUUUCUUUCUCUCUCUUCAUCAUUAAGAACUCAUGGAUUCUUAAUUUAUGUACUUAUUUUUAUGCCUAAAUUGCCCCAUAUGUGGUCCAUGGCCGGCCACCCUGACGCUGGCUCCUUUGCUCUUUGAUAUGUCCACAUCAGUUUUUAGUACUUUUUUUGGUACAUUUUUUAGUACUUUUUUGUUUUCUAGCAAAAGAUGUUUGAGGCUUACCCUACUAUAUUUUUUUUAAUGUGGUAAAAUAUACUUUAACAUACAACUUAACAUUUUAAUGUGUAUGGUUCAGAAACAUUAAAUGCAGUUGUUCCUCAGUAUCCAUGGGGUAUUGGUUCCAGGACCCCCACAGAUACUAAAAUUCACAGACUCAAGUCCCUUAUACAUAACCUAUGCAUACCUUCCCAUAUACUUUAAAUAAUCUCUAGAUUAUUUAUAAUGCCUAAUAAAUGCUAUGUAAAUAUUUGUUAUACUGUAUUGUUAAUAGUACAGUAACAGACUGUUCGGAUUUUUUUUGACCUUUUAGGGGAUUAAUGACAAAAAAGUUUGUACAUGUUCAGAACAGACAACCAUCCCUUUUUUUCUUUCGAAAAUUUUUGACCUGAGAUUGGUUGACUCCAUGGCUGUGGAACCCACGGACACAGAGGGCCAGUGGUACAUUCACAGGGUUACAGAGCUGUCACCCCGUCUGUCCCAGAAUUUUCUAUCACUCUGUUAGCAGUUCCUCCCCAACCUGCUCUCCUCAGCAGCCACUAUCUGCUUCCUGUCUCUAUGGACUUGGCUACAGUAGAUAUUUCACAUGAAUGGAAUCAUACAACUUGGGAACUUUUGUGUCUGGCUUCUUUGACUUAACGUGCUGUUUUCAAAGUCCAUCCAUGCCGUACCACACAUCAGCCCUUCAUUCUUUCUCUGACUAACAUCGCAUUGUAUGGGUAGGUCACAUUUGGUUUAUCCAUUCACCAAAUGUUGGGCAUUUGGGUUAUUUCUACCUUUUGGCCACUGUGAACAAUGCUGCUGUGAACACGGGUGUAUAGGUUUUAGUUUGAACACCUGUGGUUGCUCCUUUUGGGUAUAGACACACCUGUGAUCACUCCUUUUGUUAUAUACACACCUGUGAUCGCUCCUUUUGGGCAUAUACACACCUGUGACAACUUUUGUGUAUAUACACACCUAUGACAACUCCUUUUGUGUAUAUACACACCUGUGAUAACUCCUUUUGUGUAUAUACACACCUGUGGUCACUCCUUUUGGGUACGUACGUGCACACCUGUGGUCGCUCCUUUUGGGUACCUACACACCUGUGGUGACUCGUUUUGUAUGUAUACACACCUGUGGUCAUUCCUUUUGGGUAUAUACCUGGGAGUGGAACUGCUGGGUCAUGAAGCAGCCUGUAGUUUCAGUUCUGAGGAAUUGCCAGACUGUCUCCCACAGUGGCUGCACCAGCUUCUAUUCCAGUUAGCAAUCACGAGCAUUCCAUCUUCCCACCUUCUCACCUAGGCCUGUGAUUUGCUUCUUUCAUGGUAGCCAUCCCUGUCGGUAUGAGCUAGUGUCACAUCUUGCCAUGAUUUGCAUUUCCCUGAUGACUAUUGAUGUUGAGCAUCUUUUCAUGUUCUGAUUGGCCAUUUGUGUAUCUUCUUUGGAGAAACGUCUGUUCACGUGCUUUGCCCAGUUUCUAACUGGUCUGUUUGUCUUUUGUUAUUAAGCUGUAAGAGCUCUUUAUAUUCCAGAUGCUAGACCCUUAUCAGAUCUGUGAUUUGCAAGUAUUUUCUCCCAUUCUGUGGGUUACCUACUUUAUUGAUAGUCUGCUUUCUACAAAAGUUUUUAAUUAUGGUAAAAUCACAUUUAUUUUCUCUUUCGUUACUUUUGGUGUCACGUCUGAGAAACCGUUGCCAAAUCAAGAUCACAAAAAAUUUACUAGGCCAGGUGCAGUGCCUCACACCUGUAAUCCCAGCACUUUGGGAAGCCAAAGAUCACUUGAGCCCAGAAGUUAGUAUCAACCUCGACAACAUGGUAAAACCCCGUCUCUACAAAAAAUAGAAAAACUAGCCAGGUGUGGUGGUGCCCGCCUACAGUCCCAGCCACUCAGGGGUCAAGAUAGAAGGACUGCUUGAGCCUGAGAGGUCAAGGCUGCAGUGAGCUGCGAUCGAGUCACUGCACUCUGUCCUGCACAACAGAAUGAGACCCUGUCUCAAGAAAAGAAAAGAGAAUACCACGAUGUCUUCUCCCAAGAGUUUUAGAGUUUUAGCUCUUGCGUUUCGGUUGACCCAUUUUGGGCCU